rnacentral:lncRNA from 1 species
CCUCAGCUCCAGUUAGAGAAUUCAAACCUGAUUACUCUCUUUUCUGAGUAGUAACAAAAAGAGAGAAAAGAAACCACGACAAUUUACCUCAAUUGAAGCUAUAAUUUUGAAAGCAGAACCCUCUCGAUCGACUAAUACAGUUUCAAUUUAUGAAAGUUCAGAAAGAAAACCCAUUAAAGAGGGAAUUUGAUCUCUACAUCAAUAAAGAAUAGAAAUUACAUUACUUCUCCGCGUAACAAAAAUCAUUUGUUUUCUACAAAUACAGAAUAGGUAUCAGUUACGGGAACAGAAUACUCUGAAUCCAGAUAUAUUUUCAGUCGCUUAAAAUCCAGAGAACCCCAUCAAAGAGGAAAUUGAUCUAAAAACCAUGUUUAAAAUCCUUUCUUUUCUGCUAUAUCCCAACUCCACGGAGAUAACAACCAUGAAAGUCAAACAUCCAUUAAAAUCCAAAAAUGGAAAAGAGUUAAGAAGAAGAGCCCAGAAACCCAAAAAAGUUCAAAAACAUGAUGCAUGCAAGCCCAAUAAAACAAGAAAUGUGAGGUAAUAGCGACAACCCCAAGUGGGGUUUGUGGGGGUAGGGGUGGGGAUGAGUAAGGAGGAAGAGAAGGUUUAAUUAAAAAAAAUCUCACUUUUGAGUUGUGUUGGAGCAAAGUGAAAAGGGGACUACUCAAAAUUCUUAAGGAAUUUAGACAAUAAGCAUGAAUCCAAAAUAUGAAAAAGAACAAAAUUUUGAGAGAGAGAAAAAGGAAAAAAUGGAAGAUGAGCUUUGCA